rnacentral:sRNA from 12 species
CACUGUGCUGGUCGGAAUAGCAAUAACGACAGCAGCACAGGAAGAGCGGGGGACUGUGAGGAAGUUCUGAAACACCCCGGCAGGCGGCGAAGGCAGCACCUGUGAACGAAAAGGCUACCGGGU